GAACCAUCAGGGUUAAUACCCGUCCUAAUCCCAGGGCUCGGACUGGAGACGCGUCCCACCGCUGGGAGCCCCGGGUCCGAUGCCAAAGACACGGCUCCCACCUGCAGAAGGCCGUCCGAUGAGCGGGAAACAGGCUCACUUGCAGGAAGCCUAUGCUGAUGGGGGGCACAUCCCCUCCCUUAGGACCUCCCAAUCUGAUGGAGGAGGCCCCCCAACACCCAGUCUAAUGUGGGAAGCAGGGCUUCCUUCCUUGGGUCCCCAACGGGAAAGCUGUAAUUGCAGCAGGGCCAGAGCCCCCGGGCUGACAGCUCAGGCACGUCAACAAAGCCCUGCCAGGCAUCUCCUAGGAGCCAGACCCACAGCUGAUCAAUGGACCAGCAAACAGGAAACAGAAAUAGCCCCGAGUUCCCGUUGUGGCUUGGCAGGUUAAGAAUCUGACUAGUAUCCAUAAAGGGUGUGGGUUCCAUCCCUGGCCUCGCACAGUGGGUUAAGGAUCUGGAGUUGCCACAGGCUGCAUGGAGGUCACAGACGCGGCUCAGAUCUGGCGUUGCUGUGGCUGUGGCUGUGGCUGGCUCCUGCAGCUCUGAUUCGACCCUUAGUCUGGGAACUUCCAUAUGUGGCAGGUGCAGCAAAGAAAAGAAAAAAGAAAAGAAAAGGAGCUCACCAAAGACAUCUGAGGUGUGACUACAUGAGUAGAAGGGGCCUUCAGACCCACCCACCCCAGCACCCAAAGCCUGCUCCCCAGGGCUGCCACCUCCCUCGGCACCUCCACACUCCCACGCCUGCACCUGGGCCUAGGCUCCUCCUUCUGUCCAGGACACCUCAGCCUUCCUCAUGCCCCAGACCCAAGCAGGGGGCACCUUCUCCAGGAAGCCUUCCUCAAGACCCCCAGCCUGAGGCAGCUCCGACAUGCCCCCCUGUGACCAGAGCCACACAAUUGUCCCUCCUCGCCCUCCGGUGAGCCUCGCCCUGCAGAUCCCACACUCAGAGCCCCUACCGCCUGCCAGCCCAGGGCCUCACGCCCUUCCUCCCAGAAGCUCAGGCACAGAAAGCAAGGUCCUCCCCCCUCCCCCACGGCCCCUGCAGCCCAGCGUUGCCCCCACGGCUCCAUCCACGCUCCUCUCACCAAGUCACCAGCCACCACCUUCUGCCUAAAUCCCAGGGUCUUUCCUAGGCUCAUCCUCUGCUGGUCCCUGGCUGCUUCUUUGGCUCCCAGAACACAGCCUCCUCAGUUCCCCCCCUCCUUCCUCUCUGCACCGCCCCCCCCCCAGGUAUGGGUGCUCUCCAAAGCCUCAAAUGCCCCAGGCAUCCUCUCUUCAAACGCUAUCCCUUCUCCCUGUGCCAGCAUCCAUGCUCCUUGAGUCAACUGCCACCUCUAACCCAAAGACAUCCAAAUCCCUGCCUCCCACGCCCAUCCCUACCCCCAUUUAGGCAGAAGCUUCUGGACCUCUUCCUCAGCUUCCAGUCUGAUUCCCUAUCAAGCUGCUACCCCCUGCAGGUCUCAUUAGAUGGUCAGCACGAUCACUGUGGCACAGAGGAGGUGGCUCGGAGGCCACUCGGGGUGUGCAGACUCCCGGCCUGUUGUGGCAGACCCCUGACUCAGGACCCCUGGACCUAUGUCAAUGGGAGGCUUCAACCCUUGGCAAGGAGGCCCAAACCUGGAAGGAAGAGUGCUGUGGCAAAGUCUGAAGCCCAGAGGCCGGCCUGGAAUCCAGGAUCAGAGACGACGGGUCAGCCUCAACACUUCCACUCCCAGCAGCCCCAUGAGCCACCCUGGCCAAAGCCACAGGACUUCCCCCAUGUUCCAGCCAACAUGGGUCACAGAGAGCUUAACCGCCAAGAGAGACGACAGCCAAGGUUCACAGAGAGCUGGUGAUUACGUGUCCCCGUCACACCCACCCUCCUUCCCUGCCAAAAAUGAAGGGUUCAUAAACAUCUGUAGGAAAGGAAAU
rnacentral:lncRNA from 1 species